UACGUAGGUGGCAAGCGUUGUCCGGAUUUACUGGGCGUAAAGCAUGCGUAGGCGGAUAUUUAAGUGGGAUGUGAAAUACCCGGGCUCAACUUGGGUGCUGCAUUCCAAACUGGAUAUCUAGAGUGCGGGAGAGGAGAGUGGAAUUCCUAGUGUAGCGGUGAAAUGCGUAGAGAUUAGGAAGAACACCAGUGGCGAAGGCGGCUCGCUGGGCCGUAACUGACGCUGAGGCAUGAAAGCGUGGGGAGCAAACAGG
rnacentral:rRNA from 1 species